rnacentral:rRNA from 1 species
CCUACGGGAGGCAGCAGUAGGGAAUCUUCCACAAUGGACGAAAGUNUGAUGGAGCAACGCCGCGUGAGUGAAGAAGGUUUUCGGAUCGUAAAACUCUGUUGUUGGAGAAGAACGUAUUUGAUAGUAACUGAUCAGGUAGUG